AGUGAACGCUGGCGGUAGGCCUAACACAUGCAAGUCGAACGGCAGCACAGUAAGAGCUUGCUCUUACGGGUGGCGAGUGGCGGACGGGUGAGGAAUACAUCGGAAUCUACUUUUUCGUGGGGGAUAACGUAGGGAAACUUACGCUAAUACCGCUUACGACCUACGGGUGAAAGCAGGGAAUCUUCGGACCUUGCGCGAUUGAUUGAGCCGAUGUCGGAUUAGCUAGUUGGCGGGGUAAAGGCCCACCAAGGCGACGAUCCGUAGCUGGUCUGAGAGGAUGAUCAGCCACACUGGAACUGAGACACGGUCCAGACUCCUACGGGAGGCAGCAGUGGGGAAUAUUGGACAAUGGGCGCAAGCCUGAUCCAGCCAUACCGCGUGGGUGAAGAAGGCCUUCGGGUUGUAAAGCCCUUUUGUUGGGAAAGAAAAGCAGCAGGUUAAUACCCCGCUGUUCUGACGGUACCCAAAGAAUAAGCACCGGCUAACUUCGUG
rnacentral:rRNA from 1 species